rnacentral:rRNA from 1 species
GUAGGGAAUAUUGCACAAUGGGCGCAAGCCUGAUGCAGCAACGCCGCGUGCGCGAGGAAGGCCUUCGGGUCGUAAAGCGCUUUUCUGGGAGAUGAGGAAGGACAGUAUCCCUGGAAUAAGGAUCGGCUAACUACGUGCCAGCAGCCGCGGUAAAACGUAGGAUCCGAGCGUUAUCCGAAUUCACUGGGCGUAAAGAGCGAGCAGGCGGUUCAAUAAGUUGGAUGUGAAAGCUCCCGGCUCAACUGGGAGAGGCCGUUCAAUACUGUUGGGCUAGAGGGCGUCAGAGGGAGGUGGAAUUCCCGGUGUAGUGGUGAAAUGCGUAGAUAUCGGGAGGAACACCAGUGGCGAAGGCGGCCUCCUGGGACGUACCUGACGCUGAGGCGCGAAAGCUAGGGGAGCGAACGGGAUUAGAUACCCCAGUAGUCC